GAUGCAAGAUGGCUGCAGUCUAAUCAAGCUAGAUUUCCCCUACCACCUUCUGUCUCUUUCCCUAUGUGGAUGGACUUUUGAGUUUUUCUUCAGAGUCAGUUAAGAAAGCAGGAGCCAGGGGAUAUCAGUUCUCACUUCAGAACCAGUGUUUGAGGAAAUAGAAUCACCAGAUCCAUAGAUUGGCAGCCUGUCUGAAAGCAUCAAAAUGCAUUGUGUUCCACUGUUCCACGCCAUUUGGAAUGAAUAAGCUGUCGGGGAAGCAUCGUGCUGGAAGAAGAAAGCAGCUAAAAUCGGCUGCUCUUAGGAUCAGUUGAAGAGGAAAUAAAUGGAAGAGGCAUGGGACCACGUUCUGAUGAAUUUGAUCAUUCACACUCUGGAUUAAUUACAGACUCCUUGGACAGUUUUAAGAUUCAGUUCACCUGAAUUCUGAUAAAUUACAGAUGAUUCAUCAAAUCUUAAAUACUUUUUAGAUUUAAAAGAUCAUUUAAAAAAACAUAAUGAUUGUCAGUGAAAUGUAUUUCACAGAUUGAUAAAGCAGUUUAUAUUGAAAAAUGUAAAAGAAGUCCAAUAUUUUUCUGUAUCCUCUUGAAGAUGCAGAAAUUGUGUAUUAGUCCCUGUACAGAAAGCCUCAAGGAAAUAUUUUCCUAAGACAACAAGAAAAAAUAAAUUUAUUUUAAAUCUUU